AACGAACGCUGGCGGCGCGCCUAAUACAUGCAAGUCGAGCGAGAAGACGUAGCAAUACGUUUGUAAAGCGGCGGACGGGUGAGGAAUACAUGGGUAACCUACCCUCGAGUGGGGAAUAACUAGCCGAAAGGUUAGCUAAUACCGCGUACGCUUCUUGGACUUCGGUUCAGGGAGGAAAGCGAUACCGUGGGUAUCGCGCUCUUGGAUGGGCUCAUGUCCUAUCAGCUUGUUGGGAGGUAACGGCUCACCAAGGCUUCGACGGGUAGCUGGUCUGAGAGGACGAUCAGCCACACUGGCACUGCGACACGGGCCAGACUCCUACGGGAGGCAGCAGUAAGAAUAUUGCGCAAUGGGCGAAAGCCUGACGCAGCGACGCCGCGUGGGGGAUGAAGGUCUUCGGAUUGUAAACCCCUUUCGGG
rnacentral:rRNA from 1 species